rnacentral:rRNA from 1 species
ACUCCUACGGGAGGCAGCAGUCAAGAAUCUUCCGCAAUGGCCGAAAGGCUGACGGAGCGACGCCGCGUGCAUGAAGAAGCCCUUCGGGGUGUAAAAUGCUUUUAUUAGGGACGAAACAAUGACGGUACCUAAUGAAUAAGGGGCUGCUAAACUCGUGCCAGCAGCAGCGGUAAUACGAGUGCCCCAAGCGUUAUCCGGAUUUAUUGGGCGUAAAGGGUCCGCAGGCGGCCCGACGCAUCUUUUGUUAAAUCUAUCGGCUCAACCGGUAGGCUGCGAAAGAGAUGGUCGGGCUAGAGACCGGGAGAGGCAAGCGGAAUUGCUGGUGUAGGGGUUAAAUCCGUUAAUAUCAGCAGGAAUACCAAAUGCGAAGGCAGCUUGCUAGAACGGUUCUGACGCUCAGGGACGAAAGCGUGGGGAGCGAAUGGGAUUAGAUACCCCAGUAGUCCACGCCGUAAACGAUGGAUGCUAAGCAUUGGUAGUAUCGACCCUAUCAGUGCUGUCUACUUAAGCUAACGCCUUAAGCAUCCCGCCUGGGGAGUACGAGCGCAAGCUUAAAACUCAAAGGAAUAGACGGGGACCCGCACAAGCGGUGGAGCAUGUGGUUUAAUUCGACGAUNAGCGAGGAACCUCACCCAGACUUGACAUCUAGCUGCAGACCCUAGGAAACUAGGGAGCCUUAGAGGGUGCUAGACAGGUGCUGCAUGGUUGUCGUCAGCUCGUGUCGUGAGAUGUACCGUUAAGUCGGGAAACGAGCGCAACCCCUAUCCUAUGUUUUACGUGUCAUAGGAAACUGCCCGCUUUAAGUGGGAGNANGGCGGGGAUGACGUCAAAUCAGCAUGGUCCUUACGUCUGGGGCGACACACGUGCUACAAUGGANAGCACAGAGGGACGCCNA